GAUGAACGCUGGCGGCGUGCCUAAUACAUGCAAGUCGAGCGAACAGACGAGGAGCUUGCUCCCCUGACGUUAGCGGCGGACGGGUGAGUAACACGUGGAUAACCUACCUAUAAGACUGGGAUAACUUCGGGAAACCGGAGCUAAUACCGGAUAAUAUAUUGAACCGCAUGGUUCAAUAGUGAAAGACGGUUUUGCUGUCACUUAUAGAUGGAUCCGCGCCGCAUUAGCUAGUUGGUAAGGUAACGGCUUACCAAGGCAACGAUGCGUAGCCGACCUGAGAGGGUGAUCGGCCACACUGGAACUGAGACACGGUCCAGACUCCUACGGGAGGCAGCAGUAGGGAAUCUUCCGCAAAGGGCGAAAGCUUGACGGAGCAACGCCGCGUGAGUGAUGAAGGUCUUCGGAUCGUAAAACUCUGUUAUUAGGGAAGAACAAAUGUGUAAGUAACUAUGCACGUCUUGACGGUACCUAAUCAGAAAGCCACGGCUAACUACGUG
rnacentral:rRNA from 1 species